rnacentral:miRNA from 1 species
CUUAAUGGCUCUGAUACCCG